AAAGGUUACAUGCGAAAUAUGUUGAUGUUUUAAUUAAAUGUUGUUACGUAUAUAUAUAUCUAUAGGUUACAAGAGUCAAAAUUGACGGAUUUAAAGGUUAAUUCAGCGCAAAGCGCCUUGUAACCUUUAGAUUUUAACCUCUAAAGAACACUGCAGCGCAUCAGUGAGGAGACCUACAUCAUGGAUUGGACGUUUGCUGAUAAAUGUAUCCUAAUGUGUUCGUGCUCUGCAUUUAUGAUCUGGUUAUUACAAACGUAGGACUUCGGCAGUUCGGGCUGUAUUCGGUCUUAAUUUCUGUCAGCCAAGCAGUUACAUUUUUCACGAUUUAAAACCAAAAAAUAAAUCAAGCAUGAUCGCACUUGCAAGUUCAUCUGCGCGCUGUUCUUUGACGACCCUCCAUACUUGGCACACAGCCUUAUUUGAAAUAUCAGCAACGAAGACUGUGUCAUCGAAUGAUGUGGCGUGCACUGCCUGCCGAAACCCAGUGGUCGAACGUGACGGAAGCCCCCUGCUCUCGCACGCAUUCUAGCCACCAUGAGACAGGCAUGGAACAUCGGUAUUUCAACACGAGAAACAAUAGCGGGCGAGUUUCUUUAGAAAAAAUGAAUAUGUUUUAACAAAAUUCAUGUACGAGGCGAGGAAGAACAGCAGAAGAAAAGCACACGAACGCGUUGGGUCUUUCAGUAAAAGGUUGUUGAAAACAUUGGAUGGUUCUAUCACAUAUCAAUAUAAUUCAACUUGUCUACUAAAAUGUCCCUGCUCAGAACCUUUCAGUUGUCUGCAUACAUUUUCUGCCUUUAACCGGGUUCGUUUCAUUCCCUGCACUGCCUUGAUGCUGUCAACCAAAAAUUUCCCAUGCUUAAUUCAACCAUAAGCGCUCAAGAUGAGGUUAAUAGUUAGUGUGCAAGAAGCGCGUGCCUAAGAAAACCAUGCCGACACGCGGUACCAGCUAGGCAGCGUGCGUACUGAAGUAUAAACGCGCGGCGAGGGAGCUGGGGAUGCGGUACGCGCUACGCGACCGGCGUAACUGCUUUGAAAUAAACAACCUACAUGUCGGCGAACCAUUCUGCAUUGCACUUAGGAUGUUUUAAAAACUUGUAGCAACUGAUUCCACUGCCAACUUUCUUUGGGCAUUAUAAGCUGUGCCGAAGAUUGGCAUUACAACGACCGCAAAUUUAAGUUACAGCAGACACGAAACGCGCCAAACGUUCAGUGAAAUGAACAGGAUGCCGCUACACUCACAUACAAGCGAGCGCCGUCCGCUCCGUUGUCUUUUUUAGGAGACAUAGACAGAUGAAAAGAGCGUUAAAUGUGUGAAGCCGCCAACUGAGAAAUGAAAUCUUUACCACUGUCCAAACACGAAAUGCUUCCACCAUCACACCAAUAACAUCACUGGCACCUCUGACAUUUAUUUCUGUAAUUCAUUGCUUGUUUUCAUUUUUUUUUCAUUUUUGCUUGUGCCUCUAAGUGCCUUUUUCUAACAUGGCGGCAGCGAGCAGGCAUCAGCCACACCGGAGCGCGGCCAUCCACGGUGCUAUCAUCUCUCCUCCUCGGCCCAAUCGAGAUAGCUCGAGUUGCACGCUGGGAAGAUUUUAAGCGGGAGCGGGAGGCUCGGAGCCGGCGGGAGUGGUUAGCGCGCUGUCGUCCUGUCGUUGUUGUCGUUCUGAGACGGCCAUUAUAUUUGACUUGUUUGGAUACCAUCCGAUCACCAUUGUGUGCUGCCACCACUUGUAGCCUGCAGUAGUUAUUACCGCUUCUACUGGGAACUUGCGCCAUCCGCUGCACCCUCAUGCCUUUGUGCAGCAGAGACCUUUUCGGUGUGUUGCGCGGUCGCUGCAACGAGCCGGGUUGUGAGUGCAAGCGAUACACCAUUCUGCGCCUGUCGGAAAGUGACAACCUGGUGAGGUGUGACUAUUGUGACCACGUCCCAAAUGCACACGGAAAAAUAUGUGAUCUCGAGAGGACUGUCCCAGUUGGUGCCUCCAUAGAAAAUGAAUCGGCCUGAAUGCCUGUGCAAGAAUCACAACCUGGCUGCUCUAAAGACUCCGCACCGUAGUCCCAUGUGCAAGAGCCCCCACUUGACAGCCCAGUGGUUGCCAUGGACAAAGAGAUCCGCGAUACUGAAUGCGGCCAAGCAGUACAAGUUUUUACAUGGACAGUUAACACGAAGUUAUUGACGACAUGCAUGGCUGAAACACGGUGAUAUGAUUUUAAAAAUUCCUGUGUUAUGAUGCAAGUGAUAGUAUUCUGUUGAAUUUUCAGAUCUAGUCAUGUGCCAGCAAGGCCUGCUGUACUUCUGGUGUAUUCUAUGUUGUAUUUUCAAAUAAAGAUGUUGCAUUCUGAAGUUAACCUUA